GCUGUGGCAGGAGUGCCCCCCGACUCAGCUCCUUACUGAAGUCUGUUCCCGCCUCCACCUGCCUGGAGAAUACAGCCUGGUGUAAGAGCCGCCUGGGGUGUCCGGUGGUUCCAGGCUUGGGGGGAGGGAUGUGGGGACCGAGUGUCCCAUGAGCAGUCCCAGUCCACAUGUGCGGCAGGGCAUUGUUCUGGGAAGUCCUGAUACAGAAACCGGCAAGGCCCUCCAAUGAACGAGGAAACUGGAGCAGAGAAGCCAAAUCCGGAAGCAAGCCAGCGCUGGGGUCCGCUGAGCCCCUGCCCCCACCCGCAGGGCUGCGGGUCCCCAGCCCCGAGGCUUCCUGCACAGCUACUUGGAAACAGCUGAAGGCACUUAAAUGGAACUCCCAACCUUUGUCCUCAACCCCGAGAGCACAGCUGGAGCUUCCUCUCCGCACUAAUUGGGAAAACAUCCUCUGGGAAAUGGGGCAUCUUUAUUGAGUUGAUCUUUGGCGUUGACGACGUCAGCUGGCAAGCGCAGAGGUGAAGGCUCGGAAACACUCGGAGUGCACAGGUCCAAGAAGCCAGGCCGACCUGGCCGAUAGCCAGACCCCCAUCCGGAAAAACUACAGACCACAUUAAGGAAGGGCAAGCUAGAGACGUGGGGUCAACCCAGCGGUGAAACAACUGCCCAAGGUAAAGGGCCCCCGAUUUUCUUCCCCUUCUUCCUCAUAAACAGUAGCCCCAAAUAUUAACGGCAUAAUUAAGACCACAUUUCCCAGACUCCCUGGCAGCUGGGUGUGGUCCUGUGACUAAAUUCAGAAUAAGGAGAAGUGGAAGGUGCAACUUCCGGGAAGGGUCCGUGUCCUCCUCCCUUGCCUUCCUUGCUGAGGGUUGGAAUGUGACGGAGUUUUAGCAGCCCUUUUGAACAAAGAGGUGGCUCUGGAAAUGGAAUCCAUGCCAAUGGAUAGCAAAGUGCCACAUCAGGGAUCUUCGAAAAAUUCAGAGGGGUGGGCCUUUGGGGUAGGGGUGAAGAUGCUACUCAACACAUGUGCAUCCCAUGUUGCAGUGCUUGGGUUCAAGUCCCAAAUCUGCACUGAAGUCCAAUUUCCUGCUCGUUAGCACCUUGGGGAUCAGCAGGUCGUGGCUCAAGUACUUGGGUCCCUGACGCCCAAGUGAGAAAACUGGAUUGUGUUCCCAGCUCCUGGCUUCAGCCUGGCCCAGCCCUGGCUGGUGCAGGCGUUGGGGGAGUGAUCCAAUGGAUGGGAGAUCUCUGCCUGUCUGUCUGUCUUUGUCUCUCUCUCUGUAUGUCUCUCUGCUUUUCAAAUAAAUUAAACAUUAAAAAGUCCA
rnacentral:lncRNA from 1 species